GCACGUCUGGCAGCGUCUCUGGCUGCUGCUGAUCUUGUUUUUGGAGUAAAUCACGGUGGAAGCUGAAUUAGUGAGGAUGACUCCUGCUCCUGUCAUCUCUAAGCUCCUCACACAUCUUUACCUGCACAUGAGGAAAAUCACUCCUGUAGAAUGCAGAUGCACAAUGAGGGACGUCUGCAGAGACUGAGAAAGAGUCUCACCACAUCCUGACAUGAGGAAAAAGACUUUAUUGAAGACUACAAUGAGAAAAACUAUCAGACAGCAGAUGGCUGCAUUCAAGAGAAGAAGACCAUCAAACAUCCACGUCAGCUGAUGGAGAUCAAAGAGUCUCACCAAACAAACAACCUACAGAGUGAAGACCUCGAAUCUGAUUGGAUGGCCUCCUAUUCAGCCACAUGUGUGAACAAAUGCCUCUAAGUUGAUUUGUUUUCUAAAAUAAAUCUAGUUUGAGUCCUAAUCUAUGCCUGUGUGUUUGCUUCUUUACACGGCUGUUAACAGUUUAGGCUGUUAGAUUGUUCCAGAUAAGACAAGUACAAGAUUCUUCAGAGCCGUUCUACCACGAGCCUGACAGGAAGAACUCCAACAGCUACUGAAUGUUCCUGUGGUCCCCUCAAGGCUACAGGAGGAGCCCUACGAGGACGAGCCGGUCCACCUGAUGG
ensembl:lncRNA